CAGGCUGGAGAAGUGUUCCCUCCAUAAUCUAAGUAUGCUCUUGGCAUCGGUGACUAGAUCACCUUUGGGGGUUCUAUAGGAAUACGCUCCGGUCUUGAAACAUUCCGUAAGCCGCCGCAUUUUUUCGUAGAAUUUUCGAGCAUUACCCCUGUCGGCCAGCUUAUCAAGCUCUUCGUACUCACGCAUUUCAGCCUCUUUCUUCUUCUGUCUACAAAUGCGUCUCGCUUCCCUCUUCAACUCUCGGUAUCUAUCCCAUCCCGCACAUGUAGUGGUCGAUCGUAACGUUGCGAGGUAGGCAGCCUGUUUCUCUCCGCUGCGACACAGCACUCUUCGUCGUACCAGCUGUUCUUUUGCACUUUCCGAAAACCAAUGGUUUCGGUUGCAGCUGUAAGUAAGCAGUUUAAAAUGCCGUCCCACAGUUCCCUUAUACCGAGUUGUUGACGAGUGCUCUCAGAGAGCAGGAGUGCAAGCCGAGUAGAAAAUCGUUCGGCUGUCUGUUGUGAUUGCAGCUUCUCGACGUCGAACCUUCCUUGUGUUUGGUGGCGUGCGUUUUUUGCUGCACAGAGGCGAGUGCGAAUCUUAGCUGCAACAAGAUAGUGAUCCGAGUCGAUGUAAGGACCUCGGAGCGCACGCACAUCUAAAACCCUGGGGACGUGUCUUCUGUCUAUCACAAUAUGAUCGAUCUGGUUGGUAGUUUUUCGAUCCGGAGACAGCCAGGUAGCUUGAUGAAUCUUUUUAUGCUGGAAUCUAGUACUACAGAUAACCAUAUUUCGGGCCCAUUUGGGGAUGUUUCGUCGUGGAGGCUGAAUUUACCGACCGUAGUGCCAAAGAUACCUUCUUUGCCCACCCUGGUGUUAAAGUCGCCAAGCACGGUUUUGACAUCAUGGCGGGGGCAGCCUUCAUAAGUGCGCUCCAAGCACUCAUAAAAGGUAUCUUUGGUCACAUCGUCCUUCUCUUCCGUCGAGGCGUGGGCGCAAAUCAGCGAUAUGUUGAAAAACCUCGAUUUGAUGCGGAUUGUGGCUAGACGUUCAUCCAACGCAGUGAAUGAUAGUACUCGGCGACGGAGUCUCUCUCCCACCACGAAUCCUACACCAAACUUGCGCUCUUUUAUAUGGCCACUGUAGUUAAUGUCACAAGGACCUACUCGUCUCUGUCCUUGUCCCGUCCAUCGCAUCUCAUGGACGGCGGUGAUGUCAGCCUUUGUUUUUACGAGGACAUCAACCAGCUGGGCAGUGGCACCUUCCCAAUUAAGGGACCGGACAUUUCAGGUGCAUGCCCUCAAUUCGUAGUCCUUAUUUCGUUUGCCAUGGUCGUCAUCAAAAGGGGGGUCUCUCAUCCGAGGCUGGUUAUACUUAUUCACUGGGGGUGUUUUUUACGUGGCGGGUCCCAAACCCAGCGCACAACCCUAUGCAGGGGAUGUUUCGCCUUCUCACUUUAGCUCGCCUUCAAACGGAUGUUCUUAGGCUACCCAGAGGAUAGUUGGUCAAAUACCGGAAGUCGUGAGCUGCUUGAGCCAUAUGAAUCGUUUCUGGCCACUCUCAAGUGAAUGGCGAUCAGAGAAUUUUCCUCCCUUGCGUGAACUUCUACACACGACUCCAUCCUUCUAAGUCAUGUAAAAAUAAGUAAUUUAUCUUUCCAAAAACAUUUUUUAUCUCAUAGUGAUCUUUUUAAUAGAAUUUUUCGAUCUAAAUCAUACUGCUAUCAUCUGCACUGCUAUUCCAGUGAACACAGCUGUACAUAUAAAACACAUAUAUCUUAAAAUACAAAACUGUACAAACACAAAAACAAAAACAUAAAUCGGGCAUGAAAAGUAAAAGCACUUAGUUUCACUGGGUAUAUGGGUAGUAUACAAGGUGUCUUCCAAAAAAAGGACAAAUGGUUUUUUCGGCAAAAUCAAUUUAUUUUAUUCAAAAUAGUGUCCUUCUGCUUCAAUACAACUUUUUGCAAGAGCCAAAAGUAUGUCGAACGAGUUUUUAGCUGGUUGGCCAGUAUGGCCGCCAAUAUGCCGGUGCAAGCCUUUUGAAUGGCCUCUACGCAUGCAUAACGCUUUCCUUUCAUGAGCAAAUGCAUUUUGCCGAAAAGGAAGAAGUCGCACUGUGCGAUAUCAGGUGAAUACGGGGAAUGGUUAAUGGUAAAAAUGUGAUUUUUGGUAAAAUAAUCGGUCACAAGCGUCGAUCGAUGAUACGGCGUAUUAUCCUGCAACAGACGCCAACUUUCAUCUUCGCGAUAUUCGGGCCGAACACGUCAAAUACGGAGCACCAAACGCUUCAAAAUCAUAAUAACAAAUCAGCAUUGUAUUCACUUUUGACUUCUCCAUGCGCGAUUUUUUGGGCUUCAGCUCGUCCGAUGCUUUCCAUUCAGCACUCUGGUUUAGAUUCGAGAUCAUAUUAGAAACAUCAUGUUUCGUCACCAGUCACGGUAUUGUAAAAGAAGAUUUUGAAUUCUAUUUCCACGAGUUUCAAUGAUGAUUUAGGCUGAUUUGAGAUGAAUUCACUCACAGUUUCGAUGGAAUUUCCGCUGAUCACGGAUUUUGAUUGGCCCACAUGUUGAUCGUCAUUUAUGUCCUCACGACCACUUUAAAAACAUUAAAGCCACUCGUGCACUCUUCUAUGAGAUAGGCAAUCGUCGCCAUAAACUUAUUUCAUCAAUUGAAACGUUUCGCUCAUUUAAUAACUUCACUUCCAAUCUAUGAAAUGUCUUGAAAUUCUCGCUGAACAAUCGAUAAAACUAGUGGCCUCUAACGCACCAGUCGACAAAUAGAUGGCGCCAGCAGGGGGCACAAGAUUCAAAAAGUCCUGUUUACUUUUGAAAGCACCUUAUACUUAUUGUGAAUUAUGUAUCCCUUUUUAUUGAGUUAAACUAAAGGUUUAAAAUUUUCUUAUAGAAAAAUGCUAAUGCAGUAAUUUAUAUGUAUUUUCUGUUUGCGGGCAAACUUCAAUAAAGUCACUUGACGCAAUUA